rnacentral:rRNA from 1 species
UGCAGGUUACCCGCGACAGGACGGAAAGACCCCGAGGAGCUAUACUGUAGCCUGAUAAAGAAAUUCGGCACAGAUUGUACAGAAUAGGAAGGAGCCUUAGAAACGUGAGCGCUAGCUUAAGUGGAGCCGCUGGUGGGAUACUACCCUAGCUGUGUUGGCUUUCUAUCCCGCUCCACUUAUCGUGUUGUGAGACAGUGUCAGGCGGGCAGUUUGACUGGGGCGGUCGCCUCCUAAAAGGUAACUGAGGCGCUCAAAGGUUCCCUCAGAAUGGUUGGAAAUCAUUCAAAGAGUGUAAAGGCAUAAGUGAGCUUGACUUCGAGACCUACAAGUCGAGCAGGGUCGAAAGAC